UUGUUACUUCAUGGAUUUUAAAUUCUUUGCAAAAUUGCAGAUAGUGUCGAGUAUGUUGUAGAAUCUGCAGAACUUUGGAGAGAAUUGGAGGACAAAUAUGAACAAACAAAUGGUGCAAAAUUUUAUCAGAUACAAAAGGAAAUCAAUGAUCUGUCUCAGGGAUCUCUUGAUAUCACUGGGUACUAUACCAAGAUGAAGAAACUUUGGGAAAAACGUAACACACUGAGUACAAUGGUUCAGUGCUCCUGUGAUUGCACUUGUGGAGCCAAAGUUAAUAUUCACAAAGUAGAACAUGAUAAACAAUUGAUUCAUUUUUUAAUGGGAUUGAAUGAGGUGUAUACGGUGAUACGAGGUAUCAUACUUAUGAUGAAUCCUUC
rnacentral:lncRNA from 1 species